rnacentral:rRNA from 1 species
GACGCGUUGGCCAAUUGAUUGAUGGUGCUUGCACCUGAUUGAUUUUGGUUGCCAACGAGUGGCGGACGGGUGAGUAACACGUAGGUAACCUGCCCAGAAGCGGGGGACAACAUUUGGAAACAGAUGCUAAUACCGCAUAACAGCGUUGUUCGCAUGAACAACGCUUAAAAGAUGGCUUCUCGCUAUCACUUCUGGAUGGACCUGCGGUGCAUUAGCUUGUUGGUGGGGUAACGGCCUACCAAGGCGAUGAUGCAUAGCCGAGUUGAGAGACUGAUCGGCCACAAUGGGACUGAGACACGGCCCAUACUCCUACGGGAGGCAGCAGUAGGGAAUCUUCCACAAUGGGCGCAAGCCUGAUGGAGCAACACCGCGUGAGUGAAGAAGGGUUUCGGCUCGUAAAGCUCUGUUGUUAAAGAAGAACACGUAUGAGAGUAACUGUUCAUACGUUGACGGUAUUUAACCAGAAAGUCACGGCUAACUACGUGCCAGCAGCCGCGGUAAUACGUAGGUGGCAAGCGUUAUCCGGAUUUAUUGGGCGUAAAGAGAGUGCAGGCGGUUUUCUAAGUCUGAUGUGAAAGCCUUCGGCUUAACCGGAGAAGUGCAUCGGAAACUGGAUAACUUGAGUGCAGAAGAGGGUAGUGGAACUCCAUGUGUAGCGGUGGAAUGCGUAGAUAUAUGGAAGAACACCAGUGGCGAAGGCGGCUACCUGGUCUG